rnacentral:rRNA from 1 species
CCCUUAGAUGUCCUGGGCCGCACGCGCGCUACACUGAUGCAUGCAACGAGUUUAUAACCUUGGCCUGAAAGGUCUGGGUAAUCUUUUGAACGUGCAUCGUGAUAGGGAUAGAUUAUUGCAAUUGUUAAUCUUGAACGAGGAAUUCCUAGUAAACGCGAGUCAUCAGCUCGCAUUGAUUACGUCCCUGCCCUUUGUACACACCGCCCGUCGCACCUACCGAUUGAAUGGUUCGGUGAAGAUCUCGGACUUCGAUAUCCAUUCUUUAUUGAGUUUAUAUUGUGGGAAGUUAUCUAAACCUCAUCAUUUAGAGGAAGGUGAAGUCGUAACA